rnacentral:lncRNA from 1 species
CCCUCCUCUGACCUUUCUCUGCUUGGUCUGCCUGUCAUACAGAUCCUAUUUGAAAUACCAUUGCCCCAAACAGGGAGUUCAGUUCCACUGAGGGCUUUUAGAGAAGGUCGUGCAGCAGAGCAGAGCAGAAUUAUCUCAUGUUUUCACAAUGGGACACUUGUGUUUAUAUAUCCAAUAUGAGACUUGCGUUUUUUUACAGUGACAAGGUUGUUAUUGAAAACGUGGAUUGGGACGGACUACACAGACCACUGCCUGUAUGCCCUUUCAGUCUGACUGUGAGAUGAGACCAUGGCAAUGAGAACUCUCCAACUAUAUUUUUUUCUAGCCUCUCUUGUAACCACCUUUUAUAAUUUAAUCUAGACUGUGCUUUCCUAGGUUUGAAAAAUCAAGAUGUGUGACACUUACCAAUUCUCCCAUUAUCCUGUAACAAAUUUAGAUUGGUCUGACAUAACUCAAUGCAAUUAGAUUGGUUUGAUGCAUGCUGGCUGUUAUUAAUCUCCUUAUUUUCUUUCAAGUGCUUACAAAAUUGUUUGUGAUUUGUUCCAGGCGUGCUCAUGGAAGUGAAGCAGAGUUACAUGAGCUACCUGACCUGAGUUAAUUCUGGAAUCCCCAGGCCGAUGGAACCAGUGCAGGUUUGACCAAAAGUACCACGGGAAAAGAUAUGCUUUAGCUCCUGCAUAUUUUGAUUUUUCUAUGUACCAUAAAAUAAUGUGAUCCUUGACAUUUAAUUAAAGCAAUUAUCUUUCCCAUCCAUGCAGAAAUGUGCCAUAAAUGUUUUGCAGGUGAAAUAGGACUGGACACUGUUUAAUACGAAACACUCGAGCAGUUCUGGUGGCACAGCUGCAGUCAUCUCCUUGUUUACUUAGACAAAAACCAACCCUGACUUGCUCUGUGUGGGGCUCCUUGAGAUCACACGCAAGAGGAGACCUCCAGGCAUCUUGCAAAACAGGGGGAUGUUGGGUGCUGUGUGGACUAGGCAGUACAUGAAGCUUUUGGUUAGGUUUGAUCAGGGUUUGGGUGUCUGAUGCCAUGGUUCAGGCUCAGACCUUUUCUUGCGUACCUUGCACGCAGUUGCCGUGUAUUUCCAAGGGACUGCAGUCAUCCAUAAAGAAGGAGAAAUAAUUAUAUGUCUGGAUAAAUAUUGUAAACGGGGGGGCCCACACAUGUUUUUGGGUGUGUGGGCAAGGAGGAACCUGCUGGCUGUAUCCUACAUACCUGUGAUACACUGAGGGGGGCUGGAAAAAAAUAGUCCUGCCAUUUGUGCCACUUUCACCAUUUCCCUUA